AAAAACAGCAGUUGGCAACCAAGGCACACGGACCGCGCAGAGUUGUGUUACUCCGCCAACCAAUCACGGAAGCAAACGGAAUCGUCGUCAUGCGAUCUUUUCAAUAUGGCGUCGUACUUGAUACGACUCCAGAGUGUUUGCUCUUCU
rnacentral:lncRNA from 1 species